rnacentral:lncRNA from 1 species
AGGAGCUGGCCCUGAGCCAGAACAGGGGAUGGCCAGUGGCUGAGGGAAUCCCUGGCGGGAGCUCGUCCUCUGAGGUCCCCCCCACCCAAGACACAAGUGCCUACAUAAUAUGUAAUAUUUCUCUACCUAUAUAUUCCUCUCUUUGUAAGCCUAUUCAUACAAAUAUUUCUUUCCCUUUAAUGUAUUUUUCCUUUUGUCCCGACAGAUUCUGAUGGUGCCAUUCGCCUCCUGGAACCCCCUCAUGACGCAGCUGUAAGUAGGCAAUACUCGAAAGCCUUUGCUGAAUGGUAGUUUAAGAAUACUGAGUCAUAUCACUCAUCUAGGACGAAGACGAUGAUGAUGAGGAGCAAACCACAUCUGCUGCGUUUACAGUGGAGGAGCCAGG